rnacentral:rRNA from 1 species
UCNAAACCCAUCAACCCUAUUGAGCCUACCUAUAUUAUUAUAGUUAAAUUUAUGCUAGAAUAAGUAAUAAGAAACACAAAUUUCUCUUAACAUACGUGUAAAUCAGUAUGAAUAAACACUGAUAAUUAUCGAUAUAUGAGCCUUAAUUGAUUAUACACUAGAAAUAAAACCUAAUUUUAUCGUUAACCCUACACAGGAAUGUCUUAAGGAAAGACUAAAAGAUAAAGAAGGAACUCGGCAAACCUUUAAGCUUCGCCUGUUUACCAAAAACAUCACCUCUAGCUAACAACAUAUAUUAGAGGCACUGCCUGCCCAGUGACUACGUUCAACGGCCGCGUAUUCUGACCGUGCAAAGGUAGCAUAAUCACUUGUCUUUUAAAUUAAGACUAGUAUGAACGGCAACACGAAAGCCUAACUGUCUCCUUUAUCCAGUCAAUGAAAUUGAUCUUCUCGUGAAAAAGCGAGAAUACAUUAACAAGACGAGAAGACCCUAUGGAACUUUAAACACAUUAACCACUUUUUCAUUUUACCUACUAUACAAUAUAAAAAUCUGGUAUACUGUUUUUGGUUGGGGUGACCAAGGAGAAAAUAUAACCUCCAUGAACCACACUAAGACUAACAUAAUCAAAGUAUUAAAAUUUUAAAUUUAUGACCCAAUAAACUUGAUCAACGAACCAAGCUACCCUAGGGAUAACAGCGCAAUCUUCUCCAAGAGCCCAUAUCGCCAAGAAGGUUUACGACCUCGAUGUUGGAUCAGGAUUACCAGACAGU